AGCGAACGUUAGCGGCGGGCUUAACACAUGCAAGUCGAGCGAGAAAGGGACUUCGGUCCUGAGUAAAGCGGCGGACGGGUGAGUAACACGUAGGUAAUCUUCCCUUGAGCGGGGGACAACGGUCCGAAAGGACCGCUAAUACCGCAUACGUUUCCAGGGACUCUGGUCUUUGGAAGGAAAGCUGGGCCGCAAGGUCCGGCACUCGAGGAGGAGCCUGCGUCGCAUCAGCUAGUUGGUGGGGUAAUGGCCACCAAGGCGAAGACGCGUAGCUGGUCUGAGAGGAUGAUCAGCCACACUGGGACUGAGACACGGCCCAGACUCCUACGGGAGGCAGCAGUGGGGAAUAUUGGACAAUGGGCGCAAGCCUGAUCCAGCCACGCCGCGUGAGUGAUGAAGGCC
rnacentral:rRNA from 1 species